rnacentral:rRNA from 1 species
UACGGAGGGCGCGAGCGUUGUCCGGAAUCACUGGGCGUAAAGGGCGCGUAGGCGGCUGUGGGCAGUCGCUGGUGAAAGCCCGGGGCUCAACCCCGGGUCGGCCAGCGAUACUCCCCGGCUCGAGCACUGUAGGGGCGGGCGGUAUUCCGGGUGUAGCGGUGGAAUGCGUAGAGAUGUGGAGGAACACCGAUGGCGAAGGCAGCCCCCUGGGUCAAGAUUGACGCUCAUGCACGAAAGCGUGGGGAGCAAACAGG